rnacentral:rRNA from 1 species
GUCUAUGGCCAUGCUACCCUGAAUGUGCCUGAUCUCGGCUGAUGUCAAAAGCUAAGCAGGGCCGGGCCUGGUUAGUAUUUGGAUGGAGACCACCUAGAAAUACCAGGUGCUGUAGGCA